rnacentral:rRNA from 1 species
UACGUAGGGUGCGAGCGUUGUCCGGAAUUAUUGGGCGUAAAGAGCUCGUAGGCGGUCUGUCGCGUCGAAUGUGAAAACCCGGGGCUCAACUCCGGGCUUGCAUUCGGUACGGGCAGACUAGAGUUCGGUAGGGGAGACUGGAAUUCCUGGUGUAGCGGUGAAAUGCGCAGAUAUCAGGAGGAACACCGGUGGCGAAGGCGGGUCUCUGGGCCGAUACUGACGCUGAGGAGCGAAAGCGUGGGGAGCAAACAGG